GCUGAAUCGCCCUUAAGUUGAUCAUGGCUCAGAAUCAACGCUGGCGGCGUGCCUCAGACAUGCAAGUCGAACGCGAAAGACCCCUUCGGGGGUUGAGUAGAGUGGCGCACGGGUGAGUAACACGUGAGUAAUUUACCUUCUCGGUGGGGAAUAACAACCGGAAACGGUUGCUAAUACCGCAUAAUGCAGCGGCAUCUUCGGAUGACAGUUGUUAAAGCGGGGAUCGGAGCAAUCCGACCUCGUGCCGGAAGAGAAGCUCGCGGCAGAUUAGGUAGUUGGUAGGGUAACGGCCUACCAAGCCUGCGAUCUGUAGCCGGCCUGAGAGGGCGGUCGGCCACACUGACACUGAACAUACGGGUCAGACUCCUACGGGAGGCAGCAGUCGGGAAUUUUGGGCAAUGGGCGCAAGCCUGACCCAGCAACGCCGCGUGAAGGACGAAGUUUUUCGGAAUGUAAACUUCACAAGACGGGGAAGAAUAAGUUAAGGCGAAUAACCUUAACGAUGACGGUACCCGUAGUAAGCUCCGGCUAACUCCGUGCCAGCAGCCGCGGUAAUACGGGGGGAGCAAGCGUUGUUCGGAUUUACUGGGCGUAAAGGGCGCGUAGGCGGUCAUUCAAGUCACUUGUGAAAUCUCCGGGCUCAACCCGGAGCGGCCAAGUGAUACUGGGCGACUAGAGUGCGGAAGGGGCAACCGGAAUCUCGGUGUAGCGGUGAAAUGCGUAGAUAUCAGAGGAACACCUGCGGGCGAGGCGGGUUGCUGGGCCGACAUUGACGCUGAGGCGCGAAGGCAGGGAGCGAACGGGAUUAGAUACCCGGUAGUCCUGGCCUUAAACGAUGAU
rnacentral:rRNA from 1 species